ACCAAACCCUCACUCAUAAAUUCAAUCUUCCAUAACUUUUGAUCCGAAGUUCCAAUUGACGAGCCGUUUGCGACCACGUGACCGCAGCGUCGAGCUCUACAAAGCCCAGUCCUUUAUUAGUGUUUAGGUUCGAAUUAACUUGCGGGUAUUAUCGAGUUUAGUUCAUUAGAGCUAUGGGUCAGAUUAAAAUUGGUUGUUGACUGGAGUUGAUUUGAAAAUUUGGGAAGCUUGUGAUCAAGCCUUGAAGGCUGGGUUUUGCUUGGAAAGAAGCUAGGAUUUCAAAGCUUGGGGUGUGGUAUAUAAGAGAGGUGUUUCAGGUUUAUUGAAAAAUUGGUCAAGAUGCAGGACGUGAAGCAUCUUGCUAAGGCAUAUUGAAAGCUUCUGAUAGCAGAGAUCCUUGUCUUUGGGACU